ACGCCUGGGUCCUACUAGCUCCUUCCUAGAAAAGAUGAGGGUCUGCCUGCUUGCUCCUCCCCCUUCCUCCAUUCAUAUACACCCUAAUUUUGGAAUUGAGGAGGUAGGAGUGGCCUCAUGUUUCUGAAAGUUCCCUGUUGAAAGGUGAGACCUGUUGUCUUCGAGGAAUUGGUGGCAACAUUAAGUGUGAUCUUGGUCCCAAGAGGCCAAUGGAGACGGUUGCCAGGAGGAGGGGACACACCCUCUCCUCCUUUGGCUCCACAGUCACCUCCACCACCUUGAGUCACCUCCAUAGGGUGCUUCCCCUCCUGGUCUGUUUUCUCCUUGAAUUUCUCGUCCUCUGAAAUGAUCUUAGCCUCUGUCUCUUGGUGAGCUCGCCACCUUCCCUCGGUGGGGACAAGGGCCAUCUGUGCUGUCCUGAGUCUCCACCGGUUAAACAGUGCUUGCAUAGGGUCUGCUAACGCCCUAUGGCAUUUGGGACUCAGAGAUGUUUUCUUAUCCCUUGUCCUUGGAAAGAUGUCCCACCCCAUCCUUCCCGACCCCAGCCCUGCUCCUCCAGAAGCACAGCACUUAACACUGGAGGCAGCGGUUUCUCCUCUUAGAAGUUAUGUUUAUUGAUUUACUUACUUAGAUUUAUGUUGUGUGUAUGGAUGUUUUUUGUUGUUAUUGGGUGUUUUUUGUUUUGUUUUGUUUGGGACAGGGUUUCUCUGUGUAGCCCUGGCUGUCCUGGAACUCACUCUGUAGAGCAGGCUGGCCUUGAACUCAUAGAGAUCCACCUGCCUCUGCCUCCUGAGUGCUGGGAUUAAAGGCACCACCAGCACCACCAGGCUGUAUGGGUGUUUUGUUUCUCGUAUGUCUGUCCGUGCACCACUUGUGUGUUUGGUGCUCGUGGAAGUCAGACGAGGCAUCAGAUCCCCUGGAUCUGAAAUUACAAAUGGCUGUGAGCCAUCGUGUAGGUGCCGGGACCUGAACCCAGGCCCUCGAGAAGAACAAAUGCUCUUACCCGCUGAGCCAUUUCUCCAGCGCCUUGUUUGUUUAUUUAGUUGCUAGUGUAUGUGUGUGGAUUUGUAAACGUACCUCAGCUGCCUGUGGAGGUCAGAGGACAACCUGUAGGAAUCGGUCCUCUCCUUUCAUCAUGCAGGCCCCAGGGAGCCAACUCCGGCAUUCAGUCUCGGUGUCCAGCACCGUUACCCACUGAGCUAUUCUCUCUCUCUCUCUCUCUCUCUCUCUCUCUCUCUCUCUCUCUGUCUCUGUCUCUGUCUCUGUCUCUGUCUCUCUCUCUCUCUCUCUCUCUCUCUCUCUCUCAUUUGUUCUUUGAGGCUAUCUUGAUAUAUAAUGCAGGCUGACCUCCAGCUCAUUUUGUAGCCCAGGCUAGCCUUGAAUACAACAUGCCCAAGUCUCCAGAGUGCUGGUAUUAUAGGUGCGUGACACCAUCUCUGGCCUCUGACCCUCCAUUUAAAAACUGUCCUUUCUUUUCAUAGAGUUCAACAUGACCGAAGCUGGCCACCUUGCCCUUCGGGAUUCUCUCUGGUCCCUGCCUUCUUCUCGUCUAGCUUGGAGCCGUGAGAGAACAGGCUUCCCACAGAAGCCUGCCUGUGUAUUUGUUUGGGAUCUCUAAACAAGGCUUUUGUGCACACAGGGCUGUGAUGGCUCUCUGAGCUGGGUGAGGAUCCUCUGGGUGUGGAGUCCACAAUGGUCCUAAAUCAGGCAUGAGCUUGGCAUGGUGGGCAGAGUGGUUGAGGUGGCAUGGCACACAAGGAGUUUCACUGCCCUGCAGAAGCCAGAGCAGGGGGGAGGAGGGGGUGGAGAGUCCUCUUUUCCAGGAGUGAGGGCAGGGGAAUCCCUUAGACUAGGGAUCAGAUCAGGAGUUAGGAAGACUAGGGUUGGGGGGAGUGCCACCCCCACCUCAGGCUUCAUGAUGUCAGCCUCUGCCCGUGCCUUUCCCAGCCUGAGACAAUGGUCCAUUGAAAGUGGGGUGGGGCUUGAAAGCCUAGGUUCCAGAGAAGAGAGAGCCCUGGUGCCCGGACUUUGGGGGUAGAUAUGAAGAUUCUAGGGUGCCCUGCGCCACAGGUGUCCAAUUACACCAGUGUCACUGAGUUGGUGUUCCCGUGCAGAGGGGUAGUCUGUUGGCUCCAGGUAUGAACUGGAGGCAGUCCCUAGAGAAGGGAAACUGGCAGACAAUGAGAAAGAUGGUUGUACAAGAGUUACACUUGGCCCCAAGUGAGACCAGAACUAGUCCAGAAUGCCACAGGUGCAGGCCAGAGGGCUAGCCGGACUGUUUUGGCUGCAAGGAAGGUAGUCUCUUAGGUGAUCUCAGAGAGCAGAUGGUGAUGUCCCAGAGUCGCUGAGACUUACUACCUACAGCAGCACACAGGCCAACAACUUGGACUAGUGCCCCAGCCUUCGGCAUCUCGGCCUGCAGCACCUCCGCCUCCAGCGUCCCUCACAUCUGCCGCUCCAGCCCUCUUGGCAAUAUGCUUGGGUUUGGAGGAGUGAGCCAAUUCCAUCUCCAAAGCCAGCAUCCACAACAGAAAAGGCAGAUUGGGAAGUUGGUGUCUCGCUUCUUUCGAUUUGGAAUCAGGAACUGUGUGGAAGAGAAGAGAGUGGCUGCCCUGAAUGCUCAGUGUUGAGGAGCCCCUGCCUCCUGGGGAUGGCUCUCCCACUGCGGCAGGCCUAGGAUGCUCACCAGCUGCUGGAGAAGGGUGCUGCUGGUCA